AGUGGUUUUCAAACGUUUUUGACCACGGCACACUUUGCUCUUUACAUUUUCACAGUACACUGUAACUUUUUGUUUUAGGUCAUUAUUUAAUUGUUUACAUAAAACUAGAACUAAGAACAACAUUGAUGGAUCAUACUCAAAUGAGUCAUAAUCAUAAGACUUCAUAUUCAACAUACAGACCAUGAAUGGUGGUCCGUCAUAACUUAUGGAAAAAAUUUCAAAAAAUCAAAGCACCUAGUUUGAAAACCACU